UACAAUCCAUAUUUUUCAAGCCUUUAUCUAUCAUAGGAAGCCCCAAAUAUUGAAGAGGAAAGGAACCACAGUUUAUCUUCGAGAUUCUGCCGAGAAUUUUUCCUUCUAACUGCUUUAGAGAAGAAGACCUUGCUUUUUUGAAAACUCACUUCCAGACCCGAGAAGGCGAGAGGGUUUUAAACUUAUUAAAGAUAUUCAAGAUAUAUUUAGAUGGCCUCGCACUUGCUUUAACAAUCAGAAAUAGAUCAUCUGCAUAAAAACAGUAUGUAAAGACUAACCCAUUCGAUUCAGCAGCACCACUAGUGUGAACCCCCCCAUUAUUCCUUUCAGGCUGAACCAUAUAGGAGAAAAUUCUGUAAUUAAGUGUGAAAAAAGGGGAAGAGAGAGGGCAACCUUGCUCCAAGCCUUUUUUCUGCUGAAAAUACCCUGCAGGAGUGCCAUUUAUUAACACAUGAAACCAUGAGUUAGAUAUGCAUUAUGUUAUCCAUUCAAUCAAUUUAUCCCCAAAUCCAAAAGCUUUUAGAACCUGAAAUAAGAGGUCCCAAGAAACAAGUGAUAUGCCUUUUUGACGUCUAUUUUAAAGGCCAUUGACUAAAGAAACUUUGUAGUCUGUGGUAGAGAACAGUGGCAACAAGUAGAGGACAGUGGCAGCAGUGUUUUAAAAUGUAUAAAAGGCGUGGGAAAGAGGAUUCUAGAGCUCAAGCCUUGAUUUGGCACAUGUUAGGUGAAGGGUGGUCCACUUGCAGUCUUGCAUAAUUGGGGGGAUUGGGUUAAAUUGCAUAAUUUUGGUAAAUUGCAUCAAUUAUGGUGAAAUGGCAUUAUUGUGGUAAAUUGCAUCAAUUAGAUCAAAUUGUUUCAAUUAAGUUAUUUGUUAUUACCUCAAUUGUAGGGUAAUCCAAUGGUCAUCAAUUGUUAUAAAAAUGAUACUAUUUAACUCUGAUUACUCAAUAAAUGAAUGAAUAAAAAAUUUCUUUGUGAGUGAUUCACAAAUUCUGAGGGUGUGAGGCCUUCUCUAAGUGUGAAACCUAGGCCCUGUUGGUAUGAUUCCAAUAGGUUUUUUCUUGUUUUCAAUUCUCUCUCUACUAACAGCUCUUGAAGCCCAAUCAUGUUCAUUUGAACUUUCAGCCCAAAACUCUUCUUUGCUUCUAUUCGAGUCUGUUCUUGUCUUACAUCAGUUUUUGGUAUCAGAGCCGAAGUAGACAUUAUGUUUACGCGAUCCAAAAAUAGAAGAUUGGAUAAUCAUCAAGAGAUUGAGUUGCUGUCACAGAUUUUGUAACAACUUAAAGGGCUGAAUACUCGAUGCAAUGAGAUAGGAGAUCGAAUUUCGCGAUCUUUAAACAAAUCAGUAGGCCUUGAACAAGAAACUGCAUUUAGUACUUACGAUGGCAGAAAGUGGCAGCAUCAACAGCCUUUAAACCCUCAGCUGAUCCACCACUACAUUCCAUGUUGGAGUUGUUAAAGUGUUUUUCAAUUUUAUUAUAAUGCUUUAUUUGAGGUGGAGAAAUUUUCAGUUGAGGUGGAGCAAUGAAGAGAUUCUUGUUCAAGGUGAAGCUAUGGUGGAGCAUGUACGUGAAGACAUAGUCUGAUCACGUGAAGAAUUGGGAUGCUCAAAGUUGCUGAUUUUGGUGUGCACUUUGGCCACUGCCAAAGUUGAACCGGUUCAAAGGCUUUGAACCGGCUCAAGUGUGGUGUCGACUUUUGGCUACUGCCAAAGUUGAACCGGUUCAAAUGGGGCUAAACUGUUUCAACUUGGACAGUGAGUUAUUGGAAGUUACGAGAAACAGUUUCCUAAUCAAUUUUGGAAGCCAGAAGACUUGGGGAAAAGGCUGAAGAUUUGGGGAAGAAGUUGUAACUGCUAUUUUAAAGUUGAAGACAGAUAUGGUAACUCUUUGUAGGUAAGUUGGGGAAUACUUGUCUAACAAGGAAUUGGGUUUUGAAGACUCUAUAAGUAGAGAUGGGUAUGUGAGGUUUAGAGAGAGAGAGGAGAGAAAAGAUGUAAGUGGUUUUAGGGUGAGUGUUGUGAGAAGAGGAGAUUGUAUAUGUAAUUCCCGAUAGUAUACAUGUAGCCUCAAAAGAGAUGAUGAGUGAGUGAAUCUGGUUUUGACAUGUGGUUGUAUAUUCUCUUCCUUGAUUCAUAAUAGUGAAAAUCUCUCUCUUUCCAUGGACUUAGCCUUAGAGUUGAGUGAACCAUGUAAAAUUUUGUGUUGUGCAUGGAUAUGUAUGAUUGUUAUCUCCAUAUAUGCUUGUGUUGAUAUGAUGUGAUGAUGCUUCCACUGUGUGUGAUGAUGUUUCCACUGUGUGUGAUGAAGGAGGGAUUUAACUCUCAACAACAAUCGACCGUUGAGUGGGUUAGAGGAAGUUAAUUACUCCCCAACAACUGGUAUCAGAGUCGAUGGUGGGUUAGAGUGUGUGACUGGUCCUGAAGAUCAGUAGAAGAAGAUUGAUGUGAAGUUUUUUAGAGCAGAAGGUUGAUCGAGAGGGGUUAUGGAGAUUUAAUCAGAGUUAAUGAUAACACGAAGAAGAUAGAUGGUGUGAAGACACAGGCCCAUGAGGAACAAGUCUUGGGAUAUGCUCGUUUUCAAGAUGGGGUGAAGGUGAUAUUGUGAAGCCCAUGAGGAAUAAGUCUUAGGACAAGCUGGAGGAUGCUGUUUUCAAGAUUGGGCAAAGGUGACAGGGUUGAAGCCCAUGAGGAACAAGUCUUGGGGACAAGUCGGAGGAUGCUCGCUUUCAAGAUGGGGAAAAGGUGAUAGGGGUGAAGCCCAUGAGGAACAAGCUUUGAGGACAAACCAGAGAAGCUACUAAUUCUGAAGAUGGGGCAAGGGUGUGAAGAAUGAAGGGGUUUGUUCUAAGCCCGAUAAAGAGCAAAGGGGAAUAUGAAGAAUGAGGAGAGGUUUGACUUAUCAAAAAAAAAAAAAAAGAAUGAGGAGAGGUUUGUUGCUUUGAGCCAGAAAAAUAAUUGAUGAGGAUAAGUUGAAAGCGUGAGCAAUUGAAAACCAACGGGGUGGAUAGAGAAGAUAGAAGAGAAGAAGCAGCAUGAUGAAUUUUAAAAAAGGUGUAAAUUGUUAGAGUGUUUCUUUAUUUCAUUAUAGUGCUUUAUUUGAGGUGGAGGAAUCUUCAGUUGAGGUGAGCAAUGAAGAGGUGGAGCUAUGAUGGAGCACGUACGAAAAGACAUAGUCUGAUCAUGUAUUGAUUACAUGAAGAAUUGGGAUGCUUAAAGUUGUUGAUUUUGGUGUGCACUUUGGCUACUGUCAAAGUUGAACCGAUUUAGAAGCUUUGAACCGGUUCAAGUGUGGCGUUGACUUUUGGCUAUUGCCAAAGUUAAACCAGUUCAAAUGGGGCUGAACCGGUUCAACUUGGACAGUGAGUUAUUGGAAGCUGCGAGAAACAGUUUCCUAAUUAGUUUUGGAAGUCAGAAGACUUGGGGAAAAGGCUGAAGAUUUGGGGAAGAAGUUGUACCUACUAUUUUAGAGUUGAAAACGGAUAUGGUAAUUCCGUGUAGGCAAGUUGGGGAAUACUUGUCCAACAAGGAAUUAGAUUUUGAAGACUCUAUAAAUAGAGAUGGGUAUGAGAGUUUAGAGAGAAAGAGAAGAGAGGAAAGAUGCAAGGGGUUUAAGGAUGAGUGUUGUGAGGAGAGGAGAGAAUAUAUGUAAUUCCCGAGUGUAAAAAUGUAGACUCAAAAGAAAUGAUGAGUGAGUGAGUGGGGUUUUGACACGUGGUUGUAUAUUUUCUUACUUGAUUCAUAAUAGUGAAAAUAUUCUCUCUCCAUGGACGUAGCCCUGAAGUUAGGUGAACCAUGUAAAAUAUGGUGUUGUGCGUGGUUGUGUGUGAUUGUUAUCUCCAUAUAUGUUUGUGUUAAUGUGAUGUGAUAAUACUUCCGUUGUGUGUGAUGAAGGAGGGAUUUAACUCUCAACAACAACCGACCGUUGAGUGGGUUGGAAGGAGUUGGUUAUUCCCCAAAAAGAGUUCCCAAGAAAUACUUUAGAGGUGAAUCAUCAUGAGUCACAUGAUGCCACUAGAGAUAUUCCAAAGAAGUCAAAGUGAUGGAACAUUUAGCACACUGACAACAACAAUGCCACCAAAUGAUGGAUCGGAUGCAUCUUUCUAUAACAUGGCUCCUUCUGAAGGAAAGAGUUCAAUGGCUAGCAAGGAUCGUGAGAACCUUGUUGAUGAUGAGACUUGCAACAAUGAUCAUUUGAAGGAAGUUGGAGAGAAUGUUUCCUCCAUAUCCGUUGUGACGUGCAUCCUUGAUUACCCUAAAGUUGGUGGCAAAGAUGGGCAACAGACAUCUAAUUUUCAGAUGCAAGUUCAUCGUGGAAAUGGCGGAAGUUGCAGGAAUGUUGUGUCCACAGCCACAGUUGAGUGCCUCCAGCCUUCGAUCCAACCAAGUCUACAACCAUUCAAAGUGGCUUGGAUAUAUAGUACUUUUACUCUGAAUCUGCCAAAAGAUGCGGCUAUUGGAGUAGAUACUUGGUGUAUAUUAGUGGGCACUGCAAAGAAAUGGGAGCAUGCUUGUGCCAAGAAGCAAGAGAAGCUGGUUCAAACAUCUACUAACUUGGUAGAUGAGGUCCAGAAAAACAAACUGCCCGAAGAAACAAAUCAUGUAAGUGAUAAGCUAGAGGGGCGUCGUGCAUCAAAAGAGCAUUUUAGAAGGUUAAGUUUACCUAUUAUUUCCUCAGUUGGUCCUAAUGCAACAAUUAUGCAUUAUAAACUAGAGGAGAAAACAUUUUUAGGACUUGAUCCAAACAACAUUUGUCUAUUCGAUUCGGGAGCACAAUACCUGGAUAGAACCAACUGGGUUGCUCUUUAUGUUCUUGCUUGAAUACAUUUGUGGAAGGAUGGCCUUGAUUUUCGACAUGGUACUAGCCAUGGAGUUGGUAUCAGAGGUGAUGGGUCAAAUGUUGAUUUUGUUCUCGGGUUGCGUAGAACUAGUCAAGUACUUGAUGCUAUAAUCAUUGUUCUGAAUUGUUUUUCGAAAAAGACACAUUUCCUUCUAUGUUCUAAGACCUCCAAUGUUGUCCACAAUGCCAAACCUUUUUUUCAAGAAGUUUUCCGACUUCAUGGGUUGCACAACACUAUUGUUAUGAUCGAGCUUUGAAGUUUAUGCUUUGUUUUUUGUGCAAAUUAUGGAAAUUGCUGAAUACAAGGCUGAAAUGAUCUUGCUCUUUUCACACUUAUGAGCAAUUUCAUCCCUUUAACUCGCCGGAUCUGAGUUUUUCCAAGCCGGAGAGAAUUGGUAGAGAACAGUGGCAGCAGCGUUUAAAAUGUAUGAAAGGCAUGGGAAAGAGGAUUCUAGAGCUCAAGCCUUGAUUUGGCACAUGUUAGGUGAAGUGGGGUCCACUUGUAGUCUUGCAUAAUUAGGGAGAUUGGGUCAAUUUGUAUCAAUUAUUGUGAAAUUGCAUCAAUUAGAUCAAAUUGCAUCAAUUAAGUUAUUUGUUACUUUUAUUAUGCUAGAGUGGGGGUGGUCUGGGCAUCAGGAGGUUGGUUCCCUUUAAUCAAGCUAUCUUGGGUAAGUGGUUAUGGAGAUUUGGGAGGGAAAGGCAUCGCCCUUGGCGAAUGCUAGUUUCAUGUUGUUUUGGAGAAGAAAGUGGCGGCUGGUCUACUAGUCCGGUUUCUAUAAUGGGAGGAGUUGGUGUGUGGAAAUCCAUUCGAAAGGGUUGGAAUGUCUUCUCUUCCCACAUCAGAUUCAAAGUUCGUGAUGGCAGAUGUGUUUGAUUUUGGGAGGAUCUCUAGUGCGGUGACUAGCCAUUAUCUUAUACAUUUUCCAGAUUAUACAGUAUUGCAGUUGAUAGACAUGCUUGCGUAGCUGACUGUUAUAUGCUUGAUAGUAGUGGGAUUACGUGGGACAUGCACUUUCGGCGUUCUUUUCAGGAUUGGGAGAUGGACGAGGUCAGUGUUGUUAAAGGCGCGCCUAGGCUUGAAGCUCAGGUUUAGCGCUUGUUGUCAUCCCAGGCUCACUGAUGUUUACUAGGCGCGCGCCUCGGUUGCGCCUCGUCUUGUUUGUGAGGUGCGACUAGGCACGCCUCACUGAUUUAAAAAAAUACGAUUGUUCUAUUUCUUAAGCCAAAAUGGGUACUUUUGGCAACUUAAUAAACAAAAAGGAAAGCUCAAUCAUACGAUAUAAGGAACUUUUGUUCAAAAGAAUAAAAAAACAAGAAAGCCCAAGAGUAAGUGUUAACCAAACAACGAUAGAAUGAGAUUGUGAGACGAAAACGAAGCCCUAGUUGCAGAGAUGAACGACGAAGCCACGUCGGUUCUUUCUUUUCUCUCUUCUCCUCUAGAUCUCUCCUCAUCUUUGUUUACAUCUCUUCUUUUUUUUUUUUUGCUCUGUUUUUUCCUUUUUUUUUCUUGUUAACAAUAUUUUUUUUUUGUUAACAUAUUUAUUUCUUUUUGUGCUUUGUUUUGCCAUUCAAAAAACACAUUUUGCUUUGCCUUUCAAGAAAACAAAUUUGUGCUCUGUUUUAUGGUUGUUGGAUGCUUGUAUAGUUGAUGGAUUUACUUUUUUAUAUUUGAUAUUAAUUUUUAGAAUAUUGAUAUGACUUAUGAGAUAUGAAUGUUAUUAUGGUAGUUUAAAUUUUCAAUUGUGCGCCUCACUUCACUUAGGCGCGCGCCUCGCGCCUAGGCUCCAAAGGACCUCUAGCGCCUUAGUGCGCCUUGGGCCUUUAAUUACUAUGGACGAGGUAUGCGUUCUUUUGGAUCUGUUGUAUCGGCAGGAGGCAGUUGGCAGAGGUAGUGAUGAUAUUACAUGGAUCCCCUCUUUCCAUGGUCGUUUUGAAGUACAAUCCCUAUUCCUAUGCCUAUCUAAUUUUGAUAGCCUUGAUUUUCCAUUGAAGACCAUAUGGCGUUCUAUGGCUCCAACUAGAGUGGCAUUCUUUGUAUAGACUGCUAUAUGGGGUAAGAUCUUGACGAUUAACAAUUUGAGAAAGAGAGGUAUUUGUAUCGUUAAUUGGUGUUGCCUGUGCAAACGAGAUGGUGAGUCAAUUGAUCAUAUUCUGCUGCACUGCCCUGUGGCGUAUGACUGCUGGAAUCUUAUACUCAGUUUGUUUGGCAUGCUUUGGGUAAUGCCCUGAUCUUCUAAGGAUUUGAUUCAUGUAUGGAGAGGAUGUCGUGUGAGAAGUGGUUUACGCGAUUACUGGAGGAUUGUUCCACAUUGCGUGUAGUGGUGUAUUUGGUAGGAAAGGAAUAGUAGAAUGUUCGAAGGGACGGAGUCAUCCACGGCGACGCUAAAACUUCAUAUUAUUCGUUCUCUUUUUAGUUAUGUGACGAGGAGUACUUGCUCCUCCUCCGAUGAUUUAAUUAUUUUUUUGGAUUCUUUGAGGCUUUAGAUCCCGGUUCCACUUUUGUAUAAGGGACGCGUUCCCCUUUUGAAUGCCUUUUUAUUCAAUUAUUACUUAUCAAAAAAAAAAAAAAUUUGCUAGAGUUGACUUUUGAUUACCUCAAUUGUAGGGUAAUCCCCAUUAUUUGUUAUAAAAAGGAUAUUAUGUAACUUUGAUUACUCAGUCCAUGAAUGAAUAAAAAAAUGUUAUGAAAUUUCUUAGCGAGUGAUUCACAAGAUAUGAGGGUGUGAGACCUUCCCUAGGUGUGAUGCCUAGACCCUACUGAUGUGAUUCCAAUAGUUUUUUCUUGUUUUCAAUCUGCUCUCUGUACUAACUGCUAUUGAACCCCAAUCCUGUUCAUUUGAACUUUCAGCCCAAAACUCUUAUUUGCUAACUUUCUAUUUGAGUCUGUUCUUGUCCUAUGUCAGUGUGAAACCCUCUUAGAAUUUCAUUCACCAUAAAGACAUUACCUUGGAUUUUCCCGCCUUUCACAGAAGCUGAUUGCUCACAACCUACAAUUCUUCCCAUCACUGAACUCAACCUUGUAGCCAUUAGCUUAGUAGUAAUCCUGUAAACUGUUAGAGCACAAUGAGAUUGGUCUGUAAGCACUUUGACACAAUUGCUUGUUUUGAACGAGGCAGAUAAAAGAAGAGUGGCCCUUUGAUAGCUUAGUAUUUGAGAAGGAAAAUUCAACAGCAUUUGCCACAUCUGGUCCCACAAUGCUCUAAACUUGUUGAAAGAAUCUUGGUGGGAAACCCAUCAGGGCCUGGUCUCUUGUGAGGGCCUAAUCUGUCAACAACUGAUUUAAUUUCAUUAGCGGUGACUUGACUCUCCAAGUACUGAGCUACUUUAAAAGAAAGUUUAACACUGGGCUCCAUAGGCAUAAAAGAGAUCUUCUGAUUAUGAUUACAACUAAACAGCUUCUGAUAAUGAUUCACAAAUUCCUGCUCAAUCUGGUGUAUAUCAGUGGACCAUUUUCCAUCUUCCUUUUGAAUAGCAGAAAUGGCAUUAAAAGCUCUAUGUUGAGCUAAUUUUUUGAUAGGAAAACAUGGUGCAUCUAUGAGUCUCCUGAAGCCAAUGAACUCUAGCCUUUUGGGUUGCUAGAAUUUCCAAAUUCUUAAGAUCAAAUGUGGCCAGAUUCUCCAUUUCUAUUAGACCUGGAUUGCGAGGUUCAGGCAUGGACCUAGUUAAGGCCCAAUCAGGGCAUCCGCCCCCACUAAUUUUUUUUUAUUUACAUUAUUACCUAUAUAUCUUGUUUAAAUUUUAGAAAUGCCCCCACUCAAUUUGUAAAAAUACCCUUCACAUUCUUGCCCCCAAUGACUUUUUCGGAUCCAAAUGAUAAUUUUCUCCUUUUGACUCUCUACCACCCCCACAUUCAUGGUAAUCAGGGGCGGAGCCAGGAUUUUAUUUCAGAGGGGGCACAAUGCACUUGUUAAUUUUUUUUUUUUUAAUAAAUAUGACAAUAUAAUUUUUUUUAAUCAAAAGGCAAAUAAGAAAAAAAUAGUUGUAAAAUAAUAGGUUUAAAAAAAAUAGAAAUAAUAUUUUAAUUAGAUACAAUCACAAAUGUCAUCGAUAAAAGAAAUAGGUUUAAAAAAAAUAGAAAAAUACAAAGAAAUUUUUUGAAAAUGGAAACAAAAAUUAGAAAAGGAAAAAUAUAUUGUAUAUUUGAAGAAGGGAUAUAUGUAAUUUUUUUUUUCAAAAGGAAAUUAAAAGAAUUUUUGAAAAUUUGAGGGGGGCCACUAUUUAAAAUUACCAUAUAAGUAUAUAUAUACCAAAAAUAUGCACCUAUGUAUAGUAAGUUGGAGCAAGGCCUUAAUUGGCUCCGCCCCUGAUGGUAAUUAGUUCUCUCACACACUUUCAUAUUCCCAUCCAAUUAUUGAAAAAUACCCCACUAUUAAUAUUCUGCAUCCACAGAUUCUUUUUUUUUUUUUUCCCAGAAAGUCCAUGGAUAUUUUUAGUCCAAAAAAAAGUUAAGUAAAUCGGCUCACUUUUUUCUUCACUCUUUACUGCCCCACAUCCAUGGUAAUCUAGGAAACACAGAUAUGACUAAAAAAAGGUCAAAGAAUCUGGAUCUAACACUGACAGGGCUCAUAAAGUGUCAGACAAGCUACCAAAAGUUAAAUUCUUAUAUUUAUUAUUUUAUUUUGUAAAUGUUUUUCUUCAUUUUUUUAACUUUUCAAUGGCGCCCCCACUCAAAAAAAUUCCUGGGCCCAUCACUGGCGAGGAUCUUUGAGCAUUUCCGUUUGAAUUUCACACAAUUCUUGCUGGACUCAGAAAGUUGGUCUUUAACAUGUCUGAGAUCCCUCUUAUUCCAUUCCCUCACUUUAGACUUGACAUUCUGCAGCUUUUUAGUGAGUAUAUAUAUAGCCAUGCUUGUUUUAUCACCUCAGUAAUACCUUCUUGAUGACACCACACUUUAAGGAAUUAAAAAGGUUUUGGUUUAGAAGCUAUCUGAUCAGAUGUAUUAUGAUAUGAAAUAUGUGAUGCUGUCAGAAAUUUUUUUGUGUUUGGAUAUGGUGUCAACUACUCUUUAUUGAUCAUACUUCUGUCUAAUUUGGCAUAAAUUCUGCUUCCCUUUUCCUGUCUAUUGCACCAUGUCCAUUGACAAUUAAUUGUAGGAAGUUCAGUCAAUUCCACAUCAUUAAUCCCUUCAUUAAACUCCAUCAGCACCUUCUAAGGGACACAAACACCCCCCUUAUUUUCUACUCGAUACCUGAUCACAUUCCAAUCACCAAUGGAAACCCUUGGGCCCAUCAACAAGUGAUUUACAUUAAAUUAAAGCCACUCCAUAAGUUUCUCCUCUGUGAUACAAAAUUGGCUACAUAAACAGGAGACAGGAAAACACAUUUGUUAUCAGAGAACUGAGUUACUUUGAGAUGCAUCCACUGGUCUCCUUCAUGCAUAACCUGAACACUAAAAUAACUGGAUACCAUCCCACCACAAUUCUGCACAGAGGGUGAGAACUACUGUUUAAAUCCAGCAUGAUUUUGGAUUAAUUCUUUUCGACACCUUAUAAAUUUUUUUUGGCUUCUAAUUCUGGUGAUGGAGAUCGUGAGGUGUUCCGCACCUAUGUCAGGCGUAGGCACAGGGAUAUUUUAAUAUUUUUAUUUUUAGUGGAGAUCUAUUAUUAUUAUUAGCAAUUAUUGGGAUUUUAUUUUAUUUUAUUUUAUUUUUGGGUUUGCCUAUAAAAGGCCUUGAUGUAAUAGACUUUAGCAGUUUUGGAGAUUAUUGAUUAUAGUUCUUUCUUUGAGUCUCUCUCUAUGUUCUAUUGUUUCUCCCAUUUCUGUUCUUGCUUUUCUCACCCAUUCAGUCUAUCUUACCUAUCUAUUCACUCUGUUCUCACCCAGUUUCGUCUAUUUUCGCAUCCCCUUCUUCUAGUCUAUCUAUUCUUUUAUUUUCUCAUCCCUUUCUUUCCUUACGGUUACUAUUUACACACUACUUGUCCUGUGUCAUCUGGUUUCUAAAAGGCAAACCAAAUUUAAUGAUCACACACCAAUCCAAUUUCUGACUUCUUUUUGCAUAGGGGGUCUAUUUAACCCCCUAACAUUCCAACUACCCAACAUUUAGAAGAGGUAGAGCACCCCCAUUUAUCAUACCUCUAGUAAUUCUAUCAGAGCUCACUUAUUUUCCUCUUUGCUUUUGUAUGUUUGUUCUGAUAUUUAGCAAGAGGAUUGUAGUGUACACUUUUAUUCCCUUUUCCAUACCCUGAACUGAAGCUUUCUUUUUCGCACUGGAAGAGGUACUCAACCCUUUCAUUUUAUCGUCUGAGAUGAUACUACCAUCAAAAGAUUGCAAAGGCAUAUAGCAAGAUUCUGAACUUUAUCCCCCAUCGUUCUCUCAUGAAUACUUCAGUGUGGUCCACUGGAACCUCAUUUUGUUUUUCAUUAGCAAGACUAUCCAAAAUUUGAAAUCUGUUCAAAUAGAGGGUUCAUUAUGCUGCACAUCCACGUACUUAACAUUUGUCUCAGAUUGAGGCUGAACUUAAAAAGAGAUGGGGACUUACUGGGUCUUUGAACAUUCACCAUUCUCAUACUCGAGUUAUUAUCAAUUGUCACAACCUUUUCAACUGUGUUCCAAUUUUGAGAAGAUUCAGCUUUCUUUGGGUGCCACACAAUAAUAGGAGCUUUUGGGCACUGUAUUGAGGAAUGACCAAACUUCUGGCAGUGAUCACAAGGUUUAGGAGCCCACUGUUAUUUAAACUUAACUUCCACAUACUCAUUUCCUCCCACCAUUUACAUAUUAUGGAAAUCGACAGUUUACAUUGAUUUCCACACAAAUUCUGACAAAACUGAUCCUGGACAUGGCUUCAGUGAUGGUAUCAGCAUAUAAAGGCCUGCCAAUGGCAUUUGUCACACAACUAAAUCCUUUAGCAGUCCAAUAUUCAAGAGGAUGGUUGAAGAUUUUUACCCAAAUAGGAACCUACUCCAUCAAUUCUUUCACUAAACUCAUCUUUGGCAUCCAUUGCUUUAGCACCAGAUUACGAUUGGCAAGGACCCACGGACCCCUCGAGAAUGAAUCUAGUGUUGGAAGAAAAAGAGAAUCGAAACACAGAUAAAACCCACAACUAUGAGGGAGGAGUAGAGGACAUACACAACCCAGCAUUUGUCCCACAAUCUCGUGGCAAGAUUUUGGACCAAGGAGAGAGGCAAUGAUGCAAAUGAUUCGUGGGCUUUAGAAAUUUGAUGCAGUCAAUAGUGUCUUGAAAAGUGUACUCAAAGUUUAUUAAGUAUUAAUUAUGGUAUGGGAAGCUGAAGGUGUCAUGGAAUAGUAGAAGUUGUUGUUGAUGCUUUAAGGGUUCCUUGAAAGUUAGUCUAGAGAAGUGAAGUAUCAUUACUAGUUUUAUUCUAAAAGGGCCAGCCCUCUUAUCUGCUGUAUCAAGUCUUCAUCAAUAUCAUUUUAUAUUCAAUAUAAGAUGUGGCAGUGUUUUUAAAGGCGCACCUAGGCGCGCCUAGGCUCGAGGCGCAGGUCUAGCGCCUUUUGUCAUCCCAAGCUCACUGAUGUUUAUUAGGCGCGCGCCUCGUCCUAUUUGUCAAGGUGCGCCUAGGUGUGCCUCGCUGUUUUUUGUUUUUUUUUAAAUGAUUGUUCUAUCUCCUAAUAAGCCAAAAAGCGUACUUUUGGCAACUUAAUAAACAAAUAAGAAAGCCUAAGCAUAUCAGUGAAGGAUCUUUUGUUCAAAAGAAUAAACAAAUAAGAAAGUCCAAGAUCGAGCAUAGAAAGAGUGAGACUGUGAGAGCAACGAUGAAGCCCUAGUAGCAGAGAAGAAUGACAAAGCCAUGUCAGUUCUUUCUUCUUCUUCUCUCUCUUCUCCUCUACUCCUUUCUUUUCAUCUUUGUUUACUUCUUUCUCUUUGUCUGGUUCUCUUCUCUCUCUCUUUUUUUUUUUUUUUUUUGAGCUCUACUUUUUUCUCCUUUUUCUUCUUUAACACUCCUCUUUUCUCAUCUACUUCUUUUGUCUCUGCCUCUUUUUUUUUUUUGGCUCUAAUUUUUUUUUUUCUUUCCUUGUAAACAGUUUAUUUUGAUAGAUUUAUUUCUUUUUGUACUCUGUUUUGCCUUUCAAGAAAACAAAUUUGUGCUAUGUUUUAUGGUUCUUGAAUACUUCUAUAGUUUAUGGAUUUACUUUUUUAUAUUUGAUAUUAAUUUUUAGAAUAUUGAUGUGACUUGUGAGAUAUGAAUGCUAUUAUGGUAGUUUAAAAUUUCAAUUGUGCGCCUCACUUCACUCAGGUGUGCGCCUCGUGCCUAGGCUCCAAAGGACCUUUAGCGCCUCGAGCCUUUAAUAACACUGAGAUGUGGGCAUGGUAAGAGCCAUGCCACAUCUUAUAUUCUUCUGAUGAUUUGCUCAAGUCUUAGUUGUAAAUCUGAAUGAGGGUUCUGCUGUCAAGAGCAUGGAUUUUCAUCCAUUGCAACAAACUCUGUUUCUUGUUGCCAUGAAUAUUGGUGAUAUUGCAUCAUGGGGAGUUGGUGGUAGGGAGAAGUUUGCUUCCAGAAAUUUCAAGGUUUGCGACCUUGGAUCAUGUUCAAUGACUCUGCAGACAUCUUUGGCUAAUGAGUAUACUGGAUCAGUGAACAAAGUGAUAUGGAGUCCUGAUGGCAUCCUUUUAGGUGUUGCGAAUUCUAAGCACAUUGUGCAGAUAUGUUUCUAUCAUGCUGGUGAGGAAUGAGGAUAUACAAAACAACCUAGAUAUUGGUGCUCAUGUUGGUGGUGUUAGUGAUCUUGCUUUCUUUCAUCCAAACCAACAGUUAUGCUUCAUAACUUGUGGAGAAGACGAGACUACUAAGUUUGGGAUGUUGCUAAUGGUUCUAAGCUGUACGCUUUUGAGGGUUAUGAGACUCCUGUUUUAUUAUAAGAAAAAUAUUCAUUUCAUCUUUUCAACUACUAUUGAGAGUAAAAAUAAUAAAUCUAAUCCAGCAAAGUGUUUUUUUCAUGUUGGGCAAGCUGAAGAUAUAAACAAUGAACUUCGAAUGGGACAUGGUGCAGUAUGCAUUAUCUCAUUUAGGAUGGAUUCUUGGUGCGACAUAUAGCUAGGAAUUGGUCCAAUGUAAAAAUCAGAUUAGUUCAAGUCUUGGUUCCUGAUUUAUCUUCAAGCAAGUUUUGGCGAUUUCACAAGAGAGUUCGGGAAGUUCAUGAAAAGGUGUUCCUUGUUGGUAAAAGAAGAUUAUUGUGCUUUGUUCGAGUAAGGAAAAGAAAAAAGAAAGGUUGGAAGGCCUUAAUCAGGUUUUUAAAAGAUCGUGGUAAAUUGCUUAAUACCCGAGGGCGAGUUCUCUUCAAGGAGGAGGGUUUGAUGCAAAUGAUUCAUAGUGCUUUGAAAAGUUGAUGCAGUCAAUAGUGUCUUAAAAGUGUCUUUGCUUUAUUAAGGAGUAAGCUGAAGAUGUUAUGGGAAUAGUAGAAGCUGUCAUUAAUACUUUGUGGGUAGCUUGAAAGUUAGUUUAGAGAAGUGAAGUGUCAUUAACAGUUUUAUUCUAAAAGGAGCAGCCCUCUUAUAUGCUGUAAUCAAUUCUUUAUCAAUAUCAUUGAGUUAUUUCAAACUAAUACUUCUUCUAAGGUUUUUCCCAGAUUUCUCUUUAGAAGUCUAGAUUCCAACGGCGCUUGGAGUAACUCUAGUCUUUCUUACCGCUGGAAGAAGGCUUAUGUAUUUUUUUCCCUGUUUGCUUCAGACACGUUCCUGCCGAUGAAGUAUUCCACCGAAGUGUUCUUCCAUUUGUUACUUAUCAAAAAAAGAAACAGCAUCCUCUGGAGGGAAGAUUUUGAAUCUGUUAUCUUCGAUAACAGGGUCUACGUACUCUAAUACCAUGCGAGGAAUGGAGUCUGAAGCAAAAACAUAGCUCCAGGAUUUUCCUUUCCCCACAUCAGUCAAACUUCCAUUAGGUUGUUUAAGCAUCUCCACAUUGGUCGUUACAAAUGAAUGGUCAGGAUUAGAGCUUCGGAGUGGGUAGACAGGAUUAAAAGUUUGGACUUGUGGUCUUGAGGCCUCACGUGACUCAGAGGUGGAAAAGUAACAGAGUCAGUUACAGGAAUUACCUCUUCAUGAUCCUCACGCACUUGAGCUUGACGCGCCACCGUGGGAUCAGCCCUCAGAGUCAGGUUCCUGAUUUCGGCCACCAGGAACCCCAUAUCUGUGAUUUAUGACACUCAGAAUAGCUUUGUUUGAUAUAGACUUGUGGGCUUAAGGCCUCACGUGAUUUAGAGGUGGAAAAGUAACAGAGUCAGUUACAGGAAUUACCUCUUCAUGAUCCUCAUGCACUAGAGCUUGACGCGCCACCGUGGGAUCAGCCCUCAGAGUCAGGUUCCUGAUUGCGGCCACCAGGAACCCCAUUUCUGUGAUUUAUGACACUCAGAAGUCAGAAUAGCUUUGUUUGAUAUAGACUUCUCAAAGAAGGAAGAGUUCUCUAAGAGAGAACCAAGUUGUCUUUCAAGAUUGAGAGCCUUUUCAGGGACAAGCUCACAUUCUUCAACUAUCUGAGAUCGAUUCAGAGCUGCUAGAGUAGAUUAAACCACAAUUGAACCAGAUCGAGCAUCAUUUUCUCACGUAUUUCCGAUUUAGUUUGAAUCUUUGCUUUCAGCAGAGGAGUAACAGGGCAAGAACCUCCAUCAUUGCCCUCCAAUUCCAUCGAAUUUUGUACAUCACCACUACCUCUAGUUGGUGCAGAACUCAAGGAACGAGAAGAAGAAUGCGAUAUGGGCGCCAUGGCAUGAGAAGAUGAUUACUGGAAAACUGGUCAACAGUUCUCCAGUAAAGAAAAGAACAACGAAUAAGGAGAACAAGUGGAAAGAGAUGGACUAGACCAGAAAAUUGAUUGAUCGAAAAAACGAGCAAGGAUGUCGUGAAGUGAGUUAGAGAGAGAAACCUAGAGCGAGAAGCUCUCUAGGGUUUGAAUUGGAUAUUUAAAGAACUAAUUGGGUUGAAUUCACAUUAAGGAAAUGAAAGGUUUGAAAAUUUUCGGAAAGGUUUUGGAUUUCUUUGAGUGAUCUUUCUUUCUUAAUGAUUCGUGUGUUAGUUAUGUGAUUGGCAUUGUUUUUACGCAACAUCAAAGUUUUUCUUUCCAAUUCUAUUUUAAUACAUUGGAAGAUCUUUUAUUACUAUAAUGAUAUACAUUGGAUUUCUCUUGCUUUCCACCUUUCUUUUCUGCAGGUGCUUGAUUAUUAAUCUAAUUGUGUAUUUCAAUAGAUUGCCAGGUAAUUCCUUGUCAAUUUGAUUUGUUUUUUCUGUUUACGUUCUGUUCAUUUACAGAGUAAUUGUCUUGCUGCGUUUGUUUUUUUUUUUCCUUUUUCUUCUUAGCCAAGUCUCCUACAGUUUUUUUGGUGCAUUUGAUUAUUUGGUAUCUGCACUGUGUUUAUGCUCAGACAUAUACUUCAUUCCAUGCCAAGUACCAAAAGCGAGGGUCAUAUCCUCUUUGAUGGCAUGUACAGAAGCUUUACUUUCGUAGUCAGUAAUUUAGUUUGCUGUUUCUGAUAAAACUUGCUGAAUUGGGGCAUGCAUAAUUCUCAUCAAUUUCCAAUAGAUUUACUCUUUGGUGAAAGAGAUAAGUAAACCAUUGGGGUCCACCUUAAUUUUCUGGUCUCUGUUCAGUCAAUAAAUCUUAAUUUGAAAAGCCACCUUCAUUUUCUGGUCUAUGUUUUGUCAAUUUAUCUGUAUGUGUUGAUCCUCUCAGGGUUGAAUAGUGUUUAUUCUAGUUGAUUUUGUUGAAUGGUUGAAUAAUGUUUUCUUUAACUGCUUUUAUUGUUAAGUGUGUAACCUACCUAUGGCAACUCAGUUUGAAGAAGAAGUGUCUGACCAUUCUUCUUCUUAAGACACAGAGAGUUCACAUGAGGCUCUUGGUGAGGAUGAGAGUACUGUUCCAUCAGCCCAGAAUGAGAAGGAAGAGGGGGUUUUGCGUCAAUAAAACCCGACAAAAGAAGUGACAGGACCCUUUUGAGUGCUAAUGCAUUUGGACGGUCAAAUGGUCUAGAAUCUGUGAAGUUCGCCAAUUUCCUAGGCGCAGUUGCGAAGAAUAGGAUGAUAGCCCCAUUAUGUUGUAAUGAUUGAAGGCAUUUUUUUUUUUUUUUUUUCGGGUACCUUCCAAUAAAAAAAGUCUUCAAUCAUUACAACAUAAUGGGGCUAUCAAACAGGACUUGUGGAAUCUUGUCAAGAAAAACAUGAGUGCUGCAUCAUAGCAAAAACGUGGACUAUUGCUUCCAUUGGUAAAAAUGGAAGGAUUUUAAUUCUGAUCUAGAGAGAGACUACUGUGCUAUUUGGGACAAUGAUGAGAAACGAUUGUUUCACCUGCCACCUUGUGUUAGUAAGGAUGAUUGGGUGUAUUUGGUGAAGUACUUUAUCUCCAAGGAGGGGAAGUUUCCAUCGAAGCAAAAGAGGGAAAAGAAAAAGAAAAAAAUGACAGAGAAAGUCGUUCUGUUUUAGGGAAGCAAUGGUUCUGAAGGUGUUGAAACAGGACACAAGGUAAAAGAGGCUAUUGUGAAAAAUCCCAGAGCAAAGUUGCGGCUAAAUCAGCAGCAAAGAAAGUGAAGAAAAGCUCGUCUCAUGUGAGCGGAUCAGAUUCACCAGCAGUGCUUUGAUCAAAUUUUCCCUUUUAGUCCGUUAUUGUACUAAUAUUUGACAAAUGAAUGGUGCCCCCAAAUAUAAAUAUUUGGGGUGGUGGUUAAAACCAAUAUUUACUGGCGGUUUUAAAAAACCGCUGGUGAUUCAACUGCCGGUAAUAUUUUAACCUGACGGUUUUUUGUGUCUUUACGGGUGAAUAAUAUCUUCUAGUCUUCUUGUGUAUUAUUUGAUCACAGAAUGAUGUCAUGGGAUCACGAUUUGUCAGAUAUUAUUUUUGAUGCUUCUGGUU